AGUUCAGGGAAUCGAGGAGUAAAACAGUAAAACGCAUUUCCAAUUCGAGCGUCGAGUCGAGAACAACUAAUUGUAAGCGGCCCUUGGUCGAAACCAGGGUCGUUCCUCCGACCCAGGACGAUUGCACACUGUCGUUUUCACCUUGGAAAAUGAAUAUGAGAGGACUUAUUUCAUGUGCCUCGUCCAAUAACACCCUCCCUCCGGUGGCCACCCCCAUGGCCGCCGCCCUCCAACCCUCUUCUAUCUCCGAGUGAUCCGAAUUCGACUUCCGUUGACCCUCUGAAGAGAGCAGGGAAAGAACCAUUAUUCACAGACAUUUAUUGUCUCUUCUCCUGAAGUCACUUCUCAGGGCGUUUCCCUGACCGUCGUCUAACGUCCACACCUGAAAGUGUUCCCCUUUUGGGAAAUAAAUGCAAGCACGGGUUAAAAAUUACAAAAUCUUUUUGUCCGGAAUUCACAGACUGUGCUGAUCUUGAACAUCGUUGUGGGAAAAUGCUACUGCGGCGAAAUGCAGACAUUUAGAAGCCUCGCAGCGGACACUAUCGACCGUUUGUCGACAUGGGAGGGUGGCAAAUUAAUUAAAAAACAUGACCUGGUGACAGACGAUACAACGAACGGUUGGUUGCCGUACGGUUUCCGUCAGUGGUUCAGCCACUUCGUCAUUUUCAGUCACAAAGGAAACCAGUCUUGGCUUGUUGGAACCCGGUCCAAACGUUUCCACAGAUUCGGAGAUGACGGUAAUCCACCUUUGUUUGCAAAUAUUACAUAUCCACUUGGAAAAUUUAAGGAACGGAAGAACGAGUAUGGGAUUUUCUGGAUAACUGUCGCUAGAAUCAUAACUGUCCUAUAAGCGGAUCUCAGUCCUACAUUUACAACAUUUUUAAACAUACGAAUUUCCUGUGGAGUCGUUGCAUAUGUAUGAUUUUGCUCCGCUGCUUAAGUUGAUUACAAAGUUAAAAUUUUGGUGCUUUAUACUGGCGACCGUCAUCCAAAAAGUUCCAUACACGUCGAAGACUCAUCCUUCAAUGUUCUAAGAGGAUAUGUAAUUCUUGCAGAAAAAGGCGGAGUACGCGCACAUCUCUACCUAUUUGGGUUCCCACAAUCCAAGAUUUGUUUCUUUUUAGGCUGAAUACUACGAUGUGUCAGCAGUCAGGAGUUUAUUAGGAUCGUACGAUAAUUUUCCGUUGGUUGACUGGUCAAUCACCAGGUCGUAAGGCACCAUCCAGUGCCCACAAACGGCCGACAAUAUCUACUUCCAGGCCUCUGGCUUUUUGGAUUGUGUUGCAGUUACCUUCUUCACCGAUAAUGUUUUCCAUCAGCACAAAAACACUCCGUCUGUGCAUUCACAACUAACCGGGCUUGCGUCCAUUUCCCAAGAUGGGAACACAUUCAUUUUUGGACAAAGUUGUAGCCUUGAGUUUGAUAAAUCCUUGAGAAGAGCCUUGUGGGGGCUAUAGCAACUUCCUUUUCCCUGCUCUCUCCCGAUGGCCAAUCGAAGUCCAAUUCGUCCCACUCGGGGAUAGAUCUGUUGGUGGUUGAAAAAGCUCAGAGUUGAAACUCUCUGCCAAGAAAUCCUCACCAAAAUGGAGAAGAAAUAAACCAGUUUCUUCCGUGUUUGAGGACAACACAUAUGAAGAGGACCAGGAACUCCAAACCGGAGUGACAGGAUAAGGACGCCAUAUUUAUGAAUUCUGUAAUUUGCAAAAAGGUUUUAAA